rnacentral:rRNA from 1 species
UUGACUCGGUUCAGGUAG